UGCGCAAGAUCCAUGGCCCCAACCUCACCAUUUGGUGUUCUUCCUGCAGCGGGAAGCUGGAACACAGGGUCCUGCAUGGCCCUCGAGGUGACCUACAAGGUGGUGGCAGCCAGUUGAGAGCCAGGACAGUUUCACUUUUGUUGCCCAGGCUGGAGUGCAAUGGCUCGAUCUCGGCUCAAUGUAACCUCUGACUCCUGGUUUCAAGUGAUUUGCCUGCUUCAGCCUCCCAACCAGCUGGGAUUACAGAUGGGUUCUUGCUCUAUCACCCAGGAUGGAGUCCAAUGCUGUGAUGACAGCUCACUGCAGCCUUGACCUCCUGGGCUCAAGAGAUCCUCCUGCCUCAGUCUCCUGAGUAGCUGGGACUACAGGUUAUGCCUUGAUGAACUGUGAUGAAACCAUCACCGUAAUAAAAAUAGUAAAAAUACCCAUCCUCCAGAAAGCUUCCUCGUGCCCUUUUGUAAUUUAUUAUACUAAUUUCAGUUAUUCUAUUUUUCAGGUCUAAAAUUCUAUUUUAUUCCUUUUUUAAAACUGCUGUCUUUUAUUGUAACUAUAAUAAAAUAAAACUAUUCCACA